UACGUAGGUGGCAAGCGUUUGUCCGGAUUUACUGGGCGUAAAGGGCGUGCAGGCGGUUUGUUAAGUCUAGGGUGAAAGCUCCCGGCUCAACUGGGAGAGGUCCUUGGAUACUGGCGAACUUGAGGGAUGCAGAGGAAAGUGGAAUUCCCGGUGUAGUGGUGAUAUGCGUAGAUAUCGGGAGGAACACCAGUGGCGAAAGCGGCUCACUGGACCACAACUGACGCUGAGGCGCGAAAGCUAGGGGGAGCAAACAGG
rnacentral:rRNA from 1 species